rnacentral:rRNA from 1 species
AGUGGCGAACGGGUGAGUAACACGUGAGUAACCUGCCCUUGACUCUGGGAUAACUGCUAGAAAUGGUAGCUAAUACCGGAUACGACCCUCGGCGGCAUCGCCAGGGGGUGGAAAGAAUUUCGGUCAAGGAUGGACUCGCGGCCUAUCAGCUAGUUGGUGAGGUAACGGCUCACCAAGGCGACGACGGGUAGCCGGCCUGAGAGGGUGACCGGCCACACUGGGACUGAGACACGGCCCAGACUCCUACGGGAGGCAGCAGUGGGGAAUAUUGCACAAUGGGCGCAAGCCUGAUGCAGCAACGCCGCGUGAGGGAUGACGGCCUUCGGGUUGUAAACCUCUUUUAGUAGGGAAGAAGCGAAAGUGACGGUACCUGCGGAAAAAGCACCGGCUAACUACGUGCCAGCAGCCGCGGUAAUACGUAGGGUGCAAGCGUUGUCCGGAAUUAUUGGGCGUAAAGAGCUCGUAGGCGGUUUGUCGCGUCUGCUGUGAAAUCCCGAGGCUCAACCUCGGGCCUGCAGUGGGUACGGGCAAACUAGAGUGUGGUAGGGGAGAUUGGAACUCCUGGUGUAGCGGUGGAAUGCGCAGAUAUCAGGAAGAACACCGAUGGCGAAGGCAGAUCUCUGGGCCAUUACUGACGCUGAGGAGCGAAAGCGUGGGGAGCGAACAGGAUUAGAUACCCUGGUAGUCCACGCCGUAAACG